rnacentral:rRNA from 1 species
UAGCCGUAAACGAUACUCGCUAGGUGUCGGCCAUGGUGCGACCGUUGUCGGUGCCGUAGGGAAGCCGUGAAGCGAGCCACCUGGGAAGUACGGCCGCAAGGCUGAAACUUAAAGGAAUUGGCGGGGAGGCACCACAACGGGUGGAGCUUGCGGUUUAAUUUGGAUUCAACGCCGGAAAUCUUACCGGGACCGACAGCAACAUGAAGGCCAGGCUGAAGACUUUGCCGGAUUAGCUGAGAGGAGGUGCAUGGCGUCAGUGACU